rnacentral:rRNA from 1 species
AUUGAACGCUGGCGGCAGGCCUAACACAUGCAAGUCGAGCGGAUGAAGGGAGCUUGCUCCUGUCUUCCGCGGCGGACGGGUGAGUAAUGCCUAGGAAUCUGCCUUGUCUUGGGGGAUAACGUCCGUACACGGGCGCUAAUACCGCAUCCGUCCUGAUGUUGAACGUGGGGGAUCUUCGGACCUCACGCUAUUUGCUGAGCCUAGGUCGGAUUAGCUAGUUGGUGGGGUAAAGGCUUACCAAGGCGACGAUCCGUAACUGGUCUGAGAGGAUGAUCUGUCACACUGGAACUGAGACACGGUCCAGACUCCUACGGGAGGCAGCAGUGGGGAAUAUUGGACAAUGGGCGAAAGCCUGAUCGAGCAAUGCCGCGUGUGUGAAGAAGGUCUUCGGAUUGUAAAGCACUGUAAGUAGGGAGGAAGGGAAGUAAGUGAAAACAUGGAUGUUUUGACGGUACCAAAAGAAUAAGCACCGGCUAACUUCGUG